rnacentral:misc_RNA from 1 species
CAUUGUCGUGACCCUGACCAAAAUAGACCGUGAACGCGUAAUCCAGCCCGCUGUCGGCGACUCACCUCGUCGUUCGGCCAACUCCUCGACAACCUCCUCUCCACGGAGCGGGGGCUCGGGGUAAAAGAACCCACGGCGCCUAAGGCGUCAAGGAACACUGUGCCUAACUCGGGGACGCGGCUGGCUUGCUGGCCGCCCCUCGUGUUGCAAAGCUAUAUAAUCCACACGACUCUCGGCAACGGAUAUCUCGGCUCUCGCAUCGAUGAAGAACGUAGCGAAAUGCGAUACCUGGUGUGAAUUGCAGAAUCCCGCGAACCAUCGAGUCUUUGAACGCAAGUUGCGCCCGAGGCCAUUCGGCCGAGGGCACGCCUGCCUGGGCGUCACGCCAAACACGCUCCCAACCCCCUCAUCGGGGAUCGGGAUGCGGCAUGUGGCCCCC